CCUACGUGAGGCAGCAGUGAGGAAUAUUGGUCAAUGGGCGCAAGUCUGAACCAGCCAAGUCGCGUGAGGGAAGACGGUCCUAUGUAUUGUAAACCUCUUUUGUCGGGGAGUAAACGACGCCACGCGUCUCGUUCCGAAAGUACCCGAAGAAGAAGCAUCGGCUAAAUCGGUGCACGCCGCCGCGGUAAUACGGAGGAUGCAAGCGUUAUACGGAUUUAGUGGGUGUAAAGGGUGUGCAGUGGGAAGAUCAAGUCAGCGGUAAAAUGGAGAGGCUCAACCUCUUGGAGCUGUUGAAAAGGGUUGUCUGGAGUGAGCGAGAGGUAGGCGGAAUGCGUGGUGUAGCGGUGAAAUGCAUAGAUAUCAUGCAGAACUCCGAUUGCGAAGGCAGCAUACCGGCGCUCAACUGACGCUCAUGCACGAAAGCGUGGGUAUCAAACAGGAGUAGAUACCCGGGUAGUC
rnacentral:rRNA from 1 species